rnacentral:rRNA from 1 species
UACGGGGGGGGCAAGCGUUGUUCGGAAUUACUGGGCGUAAAGGGUGCGUAGGCGGCUUUCUAAGUUGGAUGUGAAAACUAUGGGCUCAACCCAUAGCCUGCAUCCAAAACUGGAGAGCUUGGGUUCUGGAGGGGAAAGCGGAAUUCCUGGUGUAGCGGUGAAAUGCGUAGAUAUCAGGAGGAACACCGGUGGCGAAGGCGGCUCUCUGGACGGAUACUGACGCUGAGGCGCGAAAGGGUGGGGAUCAAACAGG